rnacentral:rRNA from 1 species
AUGUUAGCGGCGGAGGGGUGAGUAACACGUGGGUAACCUGCCUGUAAGACUGGGAUAACUCCGGGAAACCGGAGCUAAUACCGGAUAGUUCCUUGAACCGCAGGGUUCAAGGAUGAAAGACGGUUUCGGCUGUCACUUACAGAUGGACCCGCGGCGCAUUAGCUAGUUGGUGAGGUAACGGCUCACCAAGGCGACGAUGCGUAGCCUACCUGAGAGGGUGAUCGGCCACACUGGGACUGAAACACGGCCCAGACUCCUACGGGAGGCAGCAGUAGGGAUCUUCCGCAAUGGACGAAAGUCUGACGGAGCAACGCCGCGUGAGUGAUGAAGGUUUUCGGAUCGUAAAGCUCUGUUGUUAGGGAAGAACAAGUGCAAGAGUAACUGCUUGCACCUUGACGGUACCUAACCAGAAAGCCACGGCUAACUACGUGCCAGCAGCCGCGGUAAUACGUAGGUGGCAAGCGUUGUCCGGAAUUAUUGGGCGUAAAGGGCUCGCAGGCGGUUUCUUAAGUCUGAUGUGAAAGCCCCCGGCUCAACCGGGGAGGGUCAUUGGAAACUGGGAAACUUGAGUGCAGAAGAGGAGAGUGGAAUUCCACGUGUAGCGGUGAAAUGCGUAGAGAUGUGGAGGAACACCAGUGGCGAAGGCGACUCUCUGGUCUGUAACUGACGCUGAGGAGCGAAAGCGUGGGGAGCGAACAGGAUUAGAUACCCUGGUAGUCCACGCCGUAAACGAUGAGUGCUAAGUGUUAGGGGGUUUCCGCCCCUUAGUGCUGCAGCUAACGCAUUAAGCACUCCGCCUGGGGAGUACGGUCGCAAGACUGAAACUCAAAGGAAUUGACGGGGGCCCGCACAAGCGGUGGAGCAUGUGGUUUAAUUCGAAGCAACGCGAAGAACCUUACCAGGUCUUGACAUCCUCUGACAACCCUAGAGAUAGGGCUUUCCCUUCGGGGACAGAGUGACAGGUGGUGCAUGGUUGUCGUCAGCUCGUGUCGUGAGAUGUUGGGUUAAGUCCCGCAACGAGCGCAACCCUUGAUCUUAGUUGCCAGCAUUUAGUUGGGCACUUUAAGGUGACUGCCGGUGACAAACCGGAGGAAGGUGGGGAUGACGUCAAAUCAUCAUGCCCCUUAUGACCGGGGCUACACACGUGCUACAAUGGACAGAACAAAGGGCUGCGAGACCGCAAGGUUU